CUCAAAGUUGGUGAGACAAGGAAAUGGCGAAAAACCACAGUGGAAAUGUGACUCACUCAGAAACUUCAGAAUGGCCAUGUGCUACUAAAAAGAAUUAGUCAUCCCCACGGCCUGGCCAGACGUCUCCUUGGAUCUCCUGUACAUAAUUUACUGGUCUUUCAGCGCCUGGUUUGUUCGGGGUGAACACUUGCUACCCGAGUGGGCAUCAUCCUCCUUGCCACGCGGUCUUCCUCGCCUCUCCUCCACCAGUGGCAACAGAGAUUCACCUAGGCCAUGUGUGCUCAGGAGGAUGCCUGCUGUAUACUUUCACCCACUGGAUUAAGAAUUAAAACGUUCUCUGCCUUUUCUAAGAGACUGAGUCAGCGUUCUCGUGUUCACAGCUGGGCAAAGUCAUGGACUCACUGGCAGAGAGCUGGCAUCAUAGUGCCUUCUGAUGUUUUUAAGGCCUUGUAUUGUUUCACUACGGUCUCUUGCUGCGACAACUUUAUGUAUCCAUUCAUUCCACAGUGUGGGAGUGUUUCCUGUUCACAUAGCUGGCGAGCUGAUACCCCGGGAGUUGCAAAACUAAGACAUGAUCCUUCUAUUGCAGCAGGACAGCGUAUAGGAUGCAGCCAGGGAGUCCGUUACCGAUCAACAAAGACUAGGCUGUAGUCCAGUUAUGGUUUCAAAAGGUCAUUCAUUUAGAAAAAAACUAAUUUUCUUGUAAUAGCCCAAUGACGUUUGUAUUUGCUAAAUAUGUGCAAGGCUUUAAGAAACAUUAUUUUAGAAUCUCAAAAUGUAAUUGGUUAAAACCUGUGCUUUCUGUGAUGUUUGUUUGCAUUUUAAUGUUUUUAGGAAAUGUAAUUUGGCUUAUAAAAUGCUAUCAAAAAGUUGAGUCAAAAACAGUUUUCAUACAAGGAGAUCCUGCUGGGUAGCAUUGAGAACUAUGUCUAGAUACUCAUGUUGCAACAGAACAAAGGGUGGGGGAAAAAAUGUAAUUGUAAUGUCUACAUGUAAGGAUAACCUGACCCCUUGCUGUACAGUGGGAAAAAAAAAAAAAAAAAAAAAAAAAAAACUACCAUGAGAUACCACCUCACACCAGUCAGAAUGGCCAUCAUUAUAAAUCCACAAAUAACAAGUGCUGGAGGGGCUGUGGAGGAAAGGGAACCCUCCUGCACUGCUGGUGGGAAUGUAAACUGGUUCAGCCACUAUGGAGAACAGUUUGGAGAUACCUUAGAAAUCUAUACAUAGAACUUCCAUAUGACCCCGCAAUCCCACUCCUGGGCAUCUAUCCGGACAA
rnacentral:lncRNA from 1 species